UUACGGUCACAUCACUAUGAAACAUCGAUUCCCGUACGAUCACCGAAGAUAAGCAACGUCAAGUCUGGUCAGUAUUUAGAUGGGUGACUCCUUAAGGAAUAUCAGGUGCUGUAAG